rnacentral:rRNA from 1 species
AAGGAAUAUUGGUCAAUGGAGGCAACUCUGAACCAGCCAUGCCGCGUGCAGGAAGACAGCCCUCUGGGUCGUAAACUGCUUUUAUUCGGGAAUAAACCUACUUACGUGUAAGUAGCUGAAUGUACCGAAGGAAUAAGGAUCGGCUAACUCCGUGCCAGCAGCCGCGGUAAUACGGAGGAUCCAAGCGUUAUCCGGAUUUAUUGGGUUUAAAGGGUGCGUAGGCGGCUUUUUAAGUCAGGGGUGAAAGACGGUAGCUCAACUAUCGCAGUGCCCUUGAUACUGAAGAGCUUGAAUGAACUAGAGGUAGGCGGAAUGUGACAAGUAGCGGUGAAAUGCAUAGAUAUGUCACAGAACACCGAUUGCGAAGGCAGCUUACUAUGGUUUAAUUGACGCUGAGGCACGAAAGCGUGGGGAUCAAAC